CCCUGUAUUCAGGUGCAGUUAUGGGUUGCCUGUGCCCUGGCCAUAGUUACUGCAGGGAGGAAAUGCUGAAAGUCUUACCCUGUAUUAGGAAGGUCCGUUCCUGUCCAUGUCAAACCUCGGUGCUGUGGAACA